GGCUGGUUGAACUGACCCCUCCAUCAAGGGACUAAAGGGGCAAGCAUUUCCCCACGUUUCACAUGGUCUGAUUAUCUUUGUCUUCGGUGGACAACUAACUAUCCAGAGUAAUCUCUACCCUCAACGUGGGGCUCGAACUCAUGACCCUGAGAUCAAGAGUCAGAUGUUCUUCAGAUGGAGCGAGCUAGGCACCCUGACAGUGGGGUACAUUUAGCACUGAAACUGAACUCUGAAACUUCUCCUUUGGAAGGAAACAAGGGAGAAAAGAGGCAUGGUUCAGCAUCAACAGCACAGACAUUUAGAGGUAGUGCUCCUUACUGCUUUCCUGUGCUCUCCGGCCGUGAGCAGGACCACACCGUCCUCUUGGAUCUCCAUCAGUCUGAUUAGUUCUGAUCUUUGCUCCUCCAUUAUGGACUUAGCAACUGGAGAAUUCCAGUUUCUAUUGGCUUUUGGGAAUACAGAACUGAAGAUGGUCUUCAUUCCCUCCCUCAACCCUUUUGAAAUGAUACUAAAUGAAUUACAAAAGGAAUCUCAACAUAAUGAAAAAAUGAAAGGGGAUAUAAGGUGGGGAAAUACUGCAGAUUUGUGGCAGGCUGCAAGGGAACAGAAUAGGAAGGAUCAAAACAGCAAGACACAGGAAGCUCUGGCCUGGAGAAAAAUGGAGCGGCCUCAGCACAAGAAGGAACUGAUUUUAGCAGAAGCCUAGAGAGGCUCAGGACUCUUAGGAAGCUUUGGUUUCCCAGGGUAAUGGGCAACGACUCUGCUGCUCCCACUAAACUGAUCCUACCCAUUCACAAAGCCCUUCCGAGGACCCCGUGCUCCCAAACAGCUUUAAAAAAAAUCUUUUUAAGUAUCCUCUAUACCCAAUGUGAGGCUUGAACUCAUGACCUCCGAGAUCACACUUGUGAGUUCAAGCCCUGCAUCGGGCUCUG